CCUACGGGGGGCAGCAGUGGGGAAUAUUGGGCAAUGGGCGAAAGCCUGACCCAGCAACGCCGCGUGAAGGAAGAAGGCUUUCGGGUUGUAAACUUCUUUUGACAGGGAAGAGCAGAAGACGGUACCUGUCGAAUAAGCCACGGCUAACUACGUGCCAGCAGCCGCGGUAAUACGUAGGUGGCAAGCGUUAUCCGGAUUUAUUGGGUUUAAAGGGUGCGUAGUCUGUGAGGUAAGUCAGCGGUGAAAUGCCCCCGCUCAACGGGGUGAAGUGCCAUUGAUACUGCCUUGCGGGAAUGCGGAUGCCGUGGGAGGAAUGUGGGGUGUAGCGGUAAAAUGCAUAGAAACAACACAGAACACCGAUUGCGAAGGAAUCUCAAGAAUCCGCGAUUGACGCUGAUGCACGAAAGCGUGGGUAUCAAACAGAAUUAGAUCCCCUAGUAGUC
rnacentral:rRNA from 1 species